GCGGGAAUGGUGGAAUGGCAGACACUCUUGAUUUAGGAUCAAGCUUUUGGGGGUUCGAAUCCCUCUUUCCGUACAA
rnacentral:tRNA from 2 species